AAAAAUGUAAAAUAUUUUAGUUUCGACCUAAAAAAAGAUAUAUAUUUAUCCAUUUUUA
rnacentral:tRNA from 1 species